rnacentral:rRNA from 1 species
AUGCCACUGCAAUCAGUUCUCUUGCAAGGAAUUUUAUUGAAAGGUGGGCAUGUCUUAGAUGCCCUAUCUUCUUGUCAGUCUAUUGCUUUUGACAAGACAGGCACAUUAACAACUGGGAAGCUUAUGUGCAAAGCAAUCGAGCCCAUUCAUGGACAUUUGGAUGCGAGUAAUGGUGUUGACCCUUCUUGUUGUACUCCGAACUGUGAAAGUGAAGCUCUAGCUGUUGCUGCAGCUAUGGAGAAAGGAACAACCCAUCCUAUUGGAAGGGCAGUUUUAAAACACUCUGUUGGGAGAGACCUCCCAGUGGUUGCUGUUGAGAGUUUUGAGAGCUUACCUGGUAGAGGAGUUGUUGCUACUUUGAGUGGCAUAAAGGCAAGAGACAGUGAAAAUGAGUUUGCUAAGGCAUCUAUCGGUUCUGUGGAAUAUAUUUCUUCACUAUACAGAUCUUAUGGUGAAUCUGAACAAAUAAAAGAGGCAGUAAAGUGUUCUGCAUUUGGUCCUGAAUUUGUCCAAGCUGCUCUCUCAGUAGAUAAAAAGGUAACCCUUUUCCACUUUGAGGAUGAACCCCGUACUGGUGUCUGUGAAGUUAUAUAUACCUUAAGAGAAAAGGCUAAACUUAGAAUCAUGAUGCUUACUGGAGAUCAUGAAUCAAGUGCUCAGAGAGUUGCUAAAGCUGUAUGCAUUGAAGAAGUUCACUUCUCUUUAAAGCCAGAGGACAAGUUGAACAAAGUAAAAGCAGUUUCAAGGGAGGGAGGUGGAGGUUUAAUAAUGGUUGGUGAUGGUAUAAAUGAUGCACCAGCUCUUGCAGCUGCAACAGUCGGUAUUGUUCUAGCACAACGCGCCAGUGCAACAGCGGUAGCUGUUGCAGAUGUUCUGUUGUUGCAGGAUAAUUUAUGUGUGGUGCCAUUUUGUAUCGCUAAAGCUCGUCAAACAACUUCAUUGGUGAAGCAAAGCGUAGCUCUUGCCUUAACCUGUAUUGUUUUUGCUGCACUUCCUUCUGUCUUAGGAUUUCUUCCUCUUUGGUUGACGGUUCUUCUCCAUGAAGGAGGAACCCUUCUCGUUUGCUUGAACUCAAUACGAGCUCUGAACCCUCCGACAUGGUCUUGGGCAGAUGACAUCCGACAACUCGUGCAUAGCCUAAAAAACUACGUCUCGGCAAAGUUGAAUAGCUCCUCCUCAGAUUGCUCAGCUAGUACCGUUCCUUUGUAG